AUCCAGCUGACGAGUCCCAAAUAGGACGAAAUGCGCAUCAAACUGGAU
rfam:Schistosoma rodhaini strain Burundi genome assembly, scaffold: SROB_scaffold0005676